rnacentral:rRNA from 1 species
AUACGGAGGGUGCGAGCGUUGUUCGGAAUUACUGGGCGUAAAGCGCGCGCAGGCGGAUGUGCAAGUCGGGGGUGAAAUCCUAGGGCUUAACCCUGGGACUGCUUCCGAUACUGCUCGUCUAGGGACCGGUAGAGGUCGGUGGAAUUCCCGGUGUAGCGGUGGAAUGCGUAGAGAUCGGGAAGAACACCUGUGGCGAAGGCGGCCGACUGGGCCGGAUCCGACGCUGAGGCGCGAAAGCGUGGGGAGCAAACAGGAUUAGAUACCCUGGUAGUCCACGCCGUAAACGAUGGGUGCUAGAUGCCGGGGGGAGCGACCCCUUCGGUGUCGCAGCUAACGCGUUAAGCACCCCGCCUGGGGAGUACGGCCGCAAGGCUGAA